GCUGGCUGGGCUCAUAUAUCAAUUAGUCCAUCAGUGAGCAUUUAUUAACCAUCUACACAUGCUAAGUCCCUUAGAUAUGAACAGUAAACAGCUUCUGCCCUUGAAGAGCCUGCAUUCUACUAGAGAAGGCACAUACACACACAUCAAAAUUUAAGUGGGUAUGUUUGAAAAUGGGAUCAUGAAGUCACCAGGUAUGUUUCAAGAGGUCCCAGAUUGUCGUAUAGACGUGAGAAGAGAAGAUAUGAGACUUCCUGUCUUCUACAUCACUAUUCCAUGGUUUGGGGUUCCUUCUUGUGACUAGGGCCAUGGGAACAUAGCAUCUCUCUCCUCCCUUCCCAUAUCCCAUACUCCUCCUCAGGGAACUGAGCAUUUCAUCACAGUGUGUUUGUGGAGAACAGAGGUCAUGGGGAAUAGAUCACCCUUCAAAUACACUGGCUCGAAACAAAAAGACAUUUGCCCGAAGAGACAAAUUAUAUUGGAAGAGAUUGGUCCAAGGAUAAAGAAGGUCACCCACACAGAUGACUGCUUCUCAGAGGAAUCAGAAUUUUUCAUCAGAACAUGUGAAUCAUUUCUAACUGGGCUGGCUAAAGUUGUAGCUGUUGAGAGGAGAAGGGUGGAGACCAAGCUCUUAUUGGCUGAGAGAGAGUGGGUGAUAAGGCUGUACUUAGCUCUGGUAAUUUUGAAGUUCCUCUAAAGGCCCUUAAGUCCUUCUUAUAUGGAUCAGUGAUUCUUCUGGGAAGUUGGCAAGAAGUCUCUGACAGGAAGGCCUGGUGAUGCUGGUAAGUGGUGGAAGAGGAAGGGCCAGAAGGACAGUGGAAAAGCAGGGAGAGGCUGGAGGUCAGUCAUCCAGAGAUGCUCCAUUUGGAAACAUUCCUGAAAAGAAUCCAAGGCUGAAAGAUAUACAAGUAGGGAGACCAAGGAGGUUCAGUACUGACCAGAACAGAGUAAAAGUCCACAGUUUUGUGGCUGGCAGAUGUAAUGAGAAGUGGUGUGAGCGUCAGGCAUCUCUGACAAUGUCUCGGCAUGUGGAAGAGGCUAGAAGCCUGCUCCAAGGAGUUAGGACAACAUGUACCUCAAGUGCCUUGGAUUGAUCUUGCUGACAUCAACAUUCUGUAACUAGUUGUGGGCGGCUAACUGCCUGGUGAAGAGGAGGCUUUUUUGGCAAUGAAAGCAUUCAAAAGACUUGAGUUGGGUUUACCCAUUCACUGACAGCAUAUGGUGAGAGACAAUGCUAAGGAGAGAGGCCUUGGGCCCUCCCUACCAAUGCAAAUAUGUGAAUACAUGCCUAAAUUCUUUGCCAGCUACAGCAUUUGUCUUUCCAUUUUGGGAGAAGGGCCUGAAUAAUCGUACCUUAUGAAGUUUAAAUGAUCAUGGAGUUGUCCCAGGACCUCAGUGUUCUAGAGUCUAAGUCAGGGAUGGGGAACUUGAGACCUUGAGGCCACAUGUGGCCCUCUAGAUCCUCAAGUUCCCCACCCCUGGUUUAGGUUUUGCAGCCGUCUCAUCAUCAACUCCCCAAAGAGCAAGAGAUGACCUUUAUGACCUAAUUAGAAAUAGCUGGAUUGGGGCAGCGAGGUGGCGCAGUGGAUAGAGCACUGGCCAUGGAUUUAGGAAGACCUGAGUUCAAAUCCAUCUCAGGCACAUAACAUAUACUAGCUGUGUGGCCCUGGGCAAGUCACUUAACCCCAUUGCCUAGCCAAAAAAAAAAAAAAGAAAAGAAGAAGUAGCUAGAUUGAGGAUUCAUCUGUCAGUCAGAUUAAUUUCUAGAUGUGAACUUGGUGGGACCAAUGUUAUGUAGAAAUUGAGCUAAGAUUAAGCUUGUUCUCCCAAGAGAUGUAGGUGGGAUAGAAGAUGGUAUAAUGUCAAGAUGUUGGGGGUGGGGGAUUUUUGUAGUUUUGUUAUUGCUUUGAAGCAAGAACAUUUUGAAGCAAAAAAGCAUUUUGCUUCUUUGAAGCAAAUAUCCCUUUGUCAAAAGGCCAAUUGGUGUUAGAUAGUUAAAUGGAACUGAGAUACUGGUUAAUUGACACCUAACCUUAGGGGGAACAUACCCAGUGGGAGCCUGAACAGAGGGAAUUAGAGAAGAGAUUCCUCAAA
ensembl:lncRNA